rnacentral:rRNA from 1 species
CCUACGGGAGGCAGCAGUGGGGAAUAUUGGGCAAUGGGCGCAAGCCUGACCCAGCAACGCCGCGUGAAGGAAGAAGGCUUUCGGGUUGUAAACUUCUUUUCUCAGGGACGAAGAAUGUGACGGUACCUGAGUAAUAAGCCACGGCUAACUACGUGCCAGCAGCCGCGGUAAUACGGAGGUGGCAAGCGUUAUCCGGAUUUAUUGGGUGUAAAGGGCGUGUAGGCGGGAGCGCAAGUCAGAUGUGAAAUCUCAGGGCUCAACCCUGAGCCUGCAUUUGAAACUGUGUUUCUUGAGUGCAGGAGAGGCAAUCGGAAUUCGGUGUGUAGCGGUGAAAUGUGUAGAUAUACGGAGGAACACCAAUGGCGAAGGCAGAUUGCUGAACAGUAACUGACGCUGAGGCGCGAAAGCGUGGGGAGCAAACAGGAUUAGAUACCCUAGUAGUC